rnacentral:RNase_P_RNA from 1 species
GAAGUGAGCCAGACGGUCGCUGCUAUGAAGGUCUUCGUGACUGAAGUAGGAGAGGAAAGUCCGGGCUUCAAAGGGUAAGGUGCCAGAUAACGUCUGGGCGGCGUGAGCCGACGGCUAGUGCAGCAGAGAGUAGACCGCCUCCCAUUUUUGUGGGCGGUAAGGGUGAAAGGGUGCGGUAAGAGCGCACCGCAUGUCUGGUAACAGUUCAUGGCUUGGUAAACCCCACCUGAAGCAAGACCAAAUAGGGAUCCUGAGGCGUGACCCGCGCUGGAUCCGGGUAGGUUGCUUGAGCAUGUGAGUAAUUGCAUGCCUAGAGGAAUGAUCGUCUUCGACAGAACCCGGCUUAUCGGCUCACUUCACAG